AUGCCGUUCCCUGGAGCGAAUACCUCGGCGGCGUUGGCCUCUGGAUCUAUCUUGGCUGCUAGGGGUGCAGGUGCGCACGACGCGCCGUGCGUUAUGGGCGGCGGCGACGACGUUGUGCCCUAUUCGGCUAUUGGCUCGUCGGAUCCGGCCGUCGGCCCGGUCUCACCGGACGUGCCUGAGUUAGAUCAAGGGGUGGGCUUGGCUGAUGGCGAAUUUUCCGGGGCAUCCUGCAAGAACUUCAGCUCUGGAGGCGGGGAUGUGGCGUCGGGAUUGGCGACUCCAGCCGGCGUCUCGCACAACUCCGUCCAGUCCAGCGGCUGCAGUGGCCCGGCGGAUUCGUGCACGACAUUCAGUUCAGGGGGCGUGGUCCAGCCGUCGGGAUUGGCGACUCCAGCCGUCGUCUCGCACAACUCCGUCCAGUCCAGCGGCAGCAGCGGCGCGGCGGAUUCGUGCACGACAUUCAGUUCUGGAGGCAUGGUCCAGACGUCGGCACGGGUCGGCGACGGGACGCCGGACGUCGUCUCGAGCUGCGACGUGCAGUCCGCACGUCCCAGCGGCCCAGCUUCGGCGAACACCACCAUCCGCGUAGGCUGGAAGUGCAGGCCAAGAGGUCCUAGUGCUGCAGACGAGAGGGCUGUAGUAGCUGAUCGUGUGCCGCCAUUGGAAGCUGCUAUUCGAGGGUUCGCUGAUAGGGGGACGGUGGCGGUCGUGAACCCGGUGCUUGGCACUAUUUUUGAUUCGCUGGCAGAGGCGUAUGAAUUCUACAAUCUAUAUUCAUGGGAGGUCGGCUUUGGGAUUCGUUACGGCAAGAGCAGGCAAAAUGUCAAUGGGACGAAGUGUAUGCAAGAGAUUGUGUGCGGCUGCGCCGGCAAACCAGAAAGGGAGAACAGCUCGUCGAUGAGGAGCAAUUGCGCCGCCAUGCUUCGGUUGCACCGGACAGAUGAUGGUGGGUGGUAUGUAUCUGAAAAUCGCGCCUCCCACAACCAUGAAUUGCUACGGACAUGUGCUGAGAAGCUGCAUUGGCUAUCACACCGGCACAUUGACACAUACACAAGAGAUCUCGUGAAACAGUUGCGCCAGAAACAAUGUAAAUCUGGGGAAGGUAUACACCAUCAUUGGGAGCCUGUUUGGGCGGAUGGAGAACGUCCCAUUCACAAAGAGGUGCCUUAG
rnacentral:rRNA from 1 species